UACGUAGGGGGCUAGCGUUGUCCGGAUUUAUUGGGCGUAAAGAGCGUGUAGGCGGCCAGGUAGGUCUGCUGUGAAAACUCGAGGCUCAACCUCGAGAUGUCGGCGGAAACCAUCUGGCUAGAGUCCGGAAGAGGAAAGUGGAAUUCCGGGUGUAGCGGUGAAAUGCGCAGAUAUCAGGAAGAACACCCGUGGCGAAGGCGGCUUUCUGGGACGGUACUGACGCUGAGACGCGAAAGCGUGGGGAGCGAACAGG
rnacentral:rRNA from 1 species